rnacentral:rRNA from 1 species
UACGUAGGGUGCGAGCGUUGUCCGGAAUUAUUGGGCGGAAAGAGCUCGUAGGCGGCCUGUCGCGUCGGAUGUGAAAGCCCGGGGCUUAACCCCGGGUCUGCAUUCGAUACGGGCAGGCUAGAGUUCGGUAGGGGAGAUCGGAAUUCCUGGUGUAGCGGUGAAAUGCGCAGAUAUCAGGAGGAACACCGGUGGCGAAGGCGGAUCUCUGGGCCGAUACUGACGCUGAGGAGCGAAAGCGUGGGGAGCAAACAGG